rnacentral:rRNA from 1 species
AGAGUUUGAUCCUGGCUCAGGACGAACGCUGGCGGCGUGCCUAAUACAUGCAAGUCGAGCGGACUUUUUCGGGAGUCAGCGUCGGACGGGUGAGUAACACGUGGGUAACCUACCAUCAAGACCGGUAUAACGCCUGGUAACGGGUGCUAAUACCGGAUAGUUUCUUUCGUUGCAUGAAGGGAGGAGGGAAAAGCGCCUUUGCGUACUUGAUGAUGGGCCCGCGGCGCAUUAGCUAGUUGGUGAGGUAAAGGCUCACCAAGGCGACGAUGCGUAGCCGACCUGAGAGGGUGAUCGGCCACACUGGGACUGAGACAUGGCCCAGACUUCUACGGGAGGCAGCAGUAGGGAAUCUUCCGCAAUUGGCGAAAGCUGGACGGAGCAACGCCGUGUGAGUGAAGACGGUCUUCGGAUUGUAAAGCUCUUUCAGUUCGGGAGGAGCGAAAAGGGGAGGGAAUUCUCUUUGUGAGACGGUACCGAAGGAGGAAGCCCCGGCUAACUACGUGCCAGCAGCCGCGGUAAUACGUAGGGGGCGAGCGUUGUCCGGAAUGACUGGGCGUAAAGCGCGCGCAGGCUGGUUUCUUGCGUCUUAGGUGAAAGUCGAGGGCUCAUCCAUCGUAAUGCCUUGGAAACGGGGGAACUUGAGGGUCGGAGAGGCAAGGGGAAUUCCACGUGUAGCGGUGAAAUGCGUAGAGAUGUGGAGGAAUACCAGUGGCGAAGGCGCCUUGCUGGACGAAAACUGACGCUGAGGCGCGAAGGCAUGGGUUUUUUUGCAGGAUUAGAUACUCCUGGUAGUCCAUGCGGUAAACGAUGAGUGUCUAGGUGUCGGAGGGUAACCCUUUCGGUGCCUAAGGAAAUCCAAUAAGCACUCCGCCUGGGGAGUACGGUCUCAAGACUGAAACUCAUAGGAAUUGACGGGGGCCCGCACAAGCAUGUGGAGCAUGUGGUUUAAUUUGAAGCAACGCUAAGAACCUUACCAUGGGCUUGACAUCCCUCUGACGGUCUUAGAGAUAAGGCCGUUCUUCGGGGCAGAGGAGACAGGUGGUGCAUGGUUGUCGUCAGCUCGUGUCGUGAGAUGUUGGGUUAAGUCCCGCAACGAGCGCAACCCUUGAUCUGUGUUACCAGCACGUAGUGGUGGGGACUCACAGAUGACUGCCGGUGACAAACCGGAGGAAGGCGGGGAUGACGUCAAAUCAUCAUGCCCCUUAUGUCCUGGGCUACACACGUGCUACAAUGGACGGUACAACGGGAUGCGAAAGAGCGAUCUUGAGCCAACCCCACAAAGCCGUUCGUAGUUCGGAUUGCAGGCUGCAACUCGCCUGCAUGAAGCCGGAAUUGCUAGUAAUCGCGGAUCAGCAUGCCGCGGUGAAUACGUUCCCGGGCCUUGUACACA